rnacentral:rRNA from 1 species
GACGAACGCUGGCGGCGUGCUUAACACAUGCAAGUCGAACGGAAAGGCCUUUUCGGAGGUACUCGAGUGGCGAACGGGUGAGUAACACGUGGGUGAUCUGCCCUGCACUCUGGGAUAAGCCUGGGAAACUGGGUCUAAUACCGGAUAGGACCGCACUUUAGUGUGUGUGGUGGAAAGUUUUUUCGGUGUAGGAUGAGCCCGCGGCCUAUCAGCUCGUUGGUGGGGUAAUGGCCUACCAAGGCGGCGACGGGUAGCCGGACUGAGAGGUUGGUCGGCCACAUUGGGACUGAGAUACGGCCCAGACUCCUACGGGAGGCAGCAGUGGGGAAUAUUGCACAAUGGGCGCAAGCCUGAUGCAGCGACGCCGCGUGGGGGAUGACGGCCUUCGGGUUGUAAACUCCUUUCGCCAGGGACGAAGCGUUUUGUGACGGUACCUGGAGAAGAAGCACCGGCUAACUACGUG